UAGACAGCUAGGAGGUUGGCUUAGAAGCAGCCACCCUUUAAAGAAAGCGUAAUAGCUCACUAGUCGAGUCGGCCUGCGCGGAAGAUGUAACGGGGCUCAAACCAUACACCGAAGCUACGGGUAUCACGCAAGUGAUGCGGUAGAGGAGCGUUCUGUAAGCCUGUGAAGGUGAGUUGAGAAGCUUGCUGGAGGUAUCAGAAGUGCGAAUGCUGACAUGAGUAACGACAAUGGGUGUGAAAAACACCCACGCCGAAAGACCAAGGUUUCCUGCGCAACGUUAAUCGACGCAGGGUUAGUCGGUCCCUAAGGCGAGGCUGAAAAGCGUAGUCGAUGGAAAACAGGUUAAUAUUCCUGUACUUCUGGUUAUUGCGAUGGAGGGACGGAGAAGGCUAGGCCAGCUUGGCGUUGGUUGUCCAAGUUUAAGGUGGUAGGCUGAAAUCUUAGGUAAAUCCGGGGUUUCAAGGCCGAGAGCUGAUGACGAGUUACCCUCUGGGUGACGAAGUGGUUGAUGCCAUGCUUCCAAGAAAAGCUUCUAAGCUUCAGAUAACCAGGAACCGUACCCCAAACCGACACAGGUGGUUGGGUAGAGAAUACCAAGGCGCUUGAGAGAACUCGGGUGAAGGAACUAGGCAAAAUGGCACCGUAACUUCGGGAGAAGGUGCGCCGGUGAGGGUCAAGCACUUGCUGCGUAAGCCCACGCCGGUCGAAGAUACCAGGCCGCUGCGACUGUUUAUUAAAAACACAGCACUCUGCAAACACGAAAGUGGACGUAUAGGGUGUGAC
rnacentral:rRNA from 1 species